GGGCCAGCCUCAAGACCAAGGCCGCCGAGACCCUUGCCCAGCUGGCGACGCUGGAGGAUGCUGAGAAGACGGUUGAGGAGCGGCGCACCUUCUUGUACAACCAGGUGGUGACCAGCUACCACAAGGCUAAGAUCGAGCGAGCCGGCUUGGCUCGCGAGCUGGAGGCUGUCAAGGUUGAGGCCGCCAAGGUCCCGCAGCUGGAGUCGGAUCUCCGAGC